AGUGAACGCUGGCGGUAGGCCUAACACAUGCAAGUCGAACGGCAGCACAGUAAGAGCUUGCUCUUACGGGUGGCGAGUGGCGGACGGGUGAGGAAUACAUCGGAAUCUACUUUUUCGUGGGGGAUAACGUAGGGAAACUUACGCUAAUACCGCAUACGACCUACGGGUGAAAGCAGGGGAUCUUCGGACCUUGCGCGAUUGAAUGAGCCGAUAUCGGAUUAGCUAGUUGGCGGGGUAAAGGCCCACCAAGGCGACGAUCCGUAGCUGGUCUGAGAGGAUGAUCAGCCACACUGGAACUGAGACACGGUCCAGACUCCUACGGGAGGCAGCAGUGGGGAAUAUUGGACAAUGGGCGCAAGCCUGAUCCAGCCAUACCGCGUGGGUGAAGAAGGCCUUCGGGUUGUAAAGUCCUUUUGUUGGGAAAGAAAAGCAGCAGGUUAAUACCCCGCUGUUCUGACGGUACCCAAAGAAUAAGCACCGGCUAACUUCGUG
rnacentral:rRNA from 1 species